ensembl:misc_RNA Metazoa_SRP Metazoan signal recognition particle RNA
GCCAGGCAUGGUGGUGCAUGCCUGUAGUCUCAGCUACUCGGGAGGCUGAGACGGGAGAAUCACUUGAACCCAGGAGGCAGAGGUUGCAGUGAGCCUAAAUCAGGCCACUGCACUCCAGCCUGGGUGACAGAGUGAGACUCUGUCUCAA